rnacentral:tRNA from 1 species
GCGCCGCUAGCUCAAUGGUCAGAGCAACGCACUCUUAAUGCGUGGGUUCAGGGUUCAAGUCCCUGGCGGCGUAC